rnacentral:miRNA from 1 species
CCGGAAUCAUUUCUCCCGCGUG